AGAGAGCUAAAACUCUACUCCUCUAUUUGCAUGUUCUGAUUUGAGCAUCGGAGGAUCCUUGUCAAAGCAUAAUCCUCUGACUCAGACUUUUUUGCAGGUUGCUCUAGUAUUGCACUUCUCAAUUUUUGACGUCAACUAGAAAUAAGCCGCAAUAGAUAGAGGAAGGGCUGAAUCUCAGGUCUUAUAGAAAGAAACAGAUAAGUCAGAAACUCUAA
rnacentral:lncRNA from 1 species